CUAAGAAUCUUCCACAAUGGACGGAAGUCUGAUGGAGCGACGCCGCGUGGACGAUGAAGGCCGUGAGGUUGUAAAGUCCUUUUCGGGAGGGGGAAUAACCCGGGGAGGGAAUGCCCCGGGGAUGACGUGAAUCCCGGAAUAAGCCCCGGCUAAUUACGUGCCAGCAGCCGCGGUAACACGUAAGUUGCGAGCGUUGUUCGGAAUUAUUGGGCGUAAAGGGCAUGUAGGCGGUUAUCUAAGCUUGGUGUGAAAGGCAGGGGCUCAACUCCUGGACUGCAUUGAGAACUGGAUAACUAGAGUUACUGAAGUGAAAUCAGAAUUCCAGGUGUAGGGGUGAAAUCUGUAGAUAUCUGGAAGAAUACCAAUGGCGAAGGCAGGUUUCAGGCAGAUAACUGAC
rnacentral:rRNA from 1 species